UGGGGAAUCUUGCACAAUGGGGGAAACCCUGAUGCAGCGACGCCGCGUGAACGAUGAAGCCCUUCGGGGUGUAAAGUUCUUUCGACAGGAACGAUAAUGACGGUACCUGGAGAAGAAGCUGCGGCUAACUACGUGCCAGCAGCCGCGGUAAUACGUAGGCAGCGAGCGUUGGUCGGAGUUACUGGGCGUAAAGAGUGCGUAGGCGGCGAGCCAAGUUUGGUGUGAAAUCUCCCGGCUUAACCGGGAGGGUGCGCCGAAAACUGGUUGGCUGGAGUAUGGGAGAGGAAAGCGGAAUUCCUGGUGUAGCGGUGAAAUGCGUAGAUAUCAGGAGGAACACCUGCGGUGUAGACAGCUUUCUGGACCAAAACUGACGCUGAGGCACGAAAGCGUGGGUAGCAAACA
rnacentral:rRNA from 1 species